AAAAAAAUAAAAAAAACCAAGCCCAACAGUUUAAGAAACCCAUCUGUGAUCCAAAUAUCCCUUGUGUUAAUCUUAGUAUUCUACAGAAUAAAUUGUGUUCCAAAUGCCAGGACUGAUUAAAAAACAUCCCCCCCACCCCCACCUUUUUUUUUUCAAUGUCAAAGCUGCAUAUGUACACCAGUGGGUGCCAGAGAAGAUACUGCAGCACUGACUUAGUAACGGAGGGACUACACUGGAAUCAGGAUUAAAAAUCAACUAUCAACUCAGCUCUUUCAGUUCUCCAGACUAAGCACUUUUUAAAUCCACAAACUGGAGUAGUUUGCUGAUGAACACCACAACAGACAAAAAGCUCCAAUCCAACUGUUCCAUGAUGGAGGCAGCAUGCAGCCACAGUCAGCAGUCUAAACUGAAACAGAGGAAGGAGACAAAGAAGAACAAAUAGAGACAGAGGAUGGAAGGCAAAACUGACAGACAGUUGAACCUUAUCAAGUGACAGCUUGGCAGUUCAGGGAUGGCCCAUCCAGGCUGUUGAGUGCUUUCUUCCAUAAACCAAAUAAUGUCUUGAAAUUAUGGCAAGACCUAUCAACAAAGUGUAUUUAGAAAAAUAAUUCCAAUUUCCACUGGUGAAGACUUUCUACACAAGGGAUGGAGUCCAAGGAAAGCAAAGAGGAGAAUGCAGGGUCACAGGAAGAUAUCCGUUUGGGAAGAAGCCUGCUGCAAGGUGAAGACAAGACAAUACAGAAAACAUUUUGUCUCCAUGGGACAUUAGGAUGGUGUAGACUUUAUCUAAAUUACCUAAGCAGAGAGGGCCUCUUCCUGAUGCUCUAUGCUUCUCAUCUCAACUUUAAGCAGAACUUUGGCUUGAAACCAGGAAGAAGUAUGCCAGGAAGAUUUGUUCUGCAAGGAAUUGCUUUGGACAUCCAGUACACAGUAACUUAAGCUAGCCAUGGAGUGAGAAGAUGGUACUCAUUUCUUGGGACAAAUAAAGAUUUA